GGGUUGUGAGGUUAAGCGACUAAGCGUACACGGUGGAUGCCCUGGCAGUCAGAGGCGAUGAAGGACGUGCUAAUCUGCGAAAAGCGUCGGUAAGGUGAUAUGAACCGUUAUAACCGGCGAUGUCCGAAUGGGGAAACCCAGUGCAAUUCGUUGCACUAUCGUUAACUGAAUACAUAGGUUAACGAGGCGAACCGGGGGAACUGAAACAUCUAAGUACCCCGAGGAAAAGAAAUCAACCGAGAUUCCCCCAGUAGCGGCGAGCGAACGGGGAGCAGCCCAGAGUCUGAAUCAGCUUGUGUGUUAGUGGAACGGUCUGGAAAGUCCGACGGUACAGGGUGAUAGUCCCGUACACCAAAAUGCACAGGCUGUGAACUCGAAGAGUAGGGCGGGACACGUGGUAUCCUGUCUGAAUAUGGGGGGACCAUCCUCCAAGGCUAAAUACUCCUGACUGACCGAUAGUGAACCAGUACCGUGAGGGAAAGGCGAAAAGAACCCCGGCGAGGGGAGUGAAAAAGAACCUGAAACCGUGUACGUACAAGCAGUGGGAGCACCUUCGGGUGUGACUGCGUACCUUUUGUAUAAUGGGUCAGCGACUUAUAUUCUGUAGCAAGGUUAACCGUAUAGGGGAGCCGCAGGGAAACCGAGUCUUAACUGGGCGUUAAGUUGCAGGGUAUAGACCCGAAACCCGGUGAUCUAGCCAUGGGCAGGUUGAAGGUUGGGUAACACUAACUGGAGGACCGAACCGACUAAUGUUGAAAAAUUAGCGGAUGACUUGUGGCUGGGGGUGAAAGGCCAAUCAAACCGGGAGAUAGCUGGUUCUCCCCGAAAGCUAUUUAGGUAGCGCCUCGUGAAUUCAUCUUCGGGGGUAGAGCACUGUUUCGGCUAGGGGGUCAUCCCGACUUACCAACCCGAUGCAAACUACGAAUACCGAAGAAUGUUAUCACGGGAGACACACGGCGGGUGCUAACGUCCGUCGUGAAGAGGGAAACAACCCAGACCGCCAGCUAAGGUCCCAAAGUCAUGGUUAAGUGGGAAACGAUGUGGGAAGGCACAGACAGCCAGGAUGUUGGCUUAGAAGCAGCCAUCAUUUAAAGAAAGCGUAAUAGCUCACUGGUCGAGUCGGCCUGCGCGGAAGAUGUAACGGGGCUAAACCAUGCACCGAAGCUGCGGCAGCGACACUAUGUGUUGUUGGGUAGGGGAGCGUUCUGUAAGCCUGCGAAGGUGACCUGUGAGGGUUGCUGGAGGUAUCAGAAGUGCGAAUGCUGACAUAAGUAACGAUAAAGCGGGUGAAAAGCCCGCUCGCCGGAAGACCAAGGGUUCCUGUCCAACGUUAAUCGGGGCAGGGUGAGUCGACCCCUAAGGCGAGGCCGAAAGGCGUAGUCGAUGGGAAACAGGUUAAUAUUCCUGUACUUGGUGUUACUGCGAAGGGGGGACGGAGAAGGCUAUGUUAGCCGGGCGACGGUUGUCCCGGUUUAAGCAUGUAGGCUGGUUAUCCAGGCAAAUCCGGAUAAUCAAGGCUGAGGUGUGAUGACGAGGCACUACGGUGCUGAAGUAACAAAUGCCCUGCUUCCAGGAAAAGCCUCUAAGCAUCAGGUAACAUUAAAUCGUACCCCAAACCGACACAGGUGGUCAGGUAGAGAAUACCAAGGCGCUUGAGAGAACUCGGGUGAAGGAACUAGGCAAAAUGGUGCCGUAACUUCGGGAGAAGGCACGCUGGUGUGUAGGUGAAGUCCCUGCGGAUGGAGCUGAGACCAGUCGAAGAUACCAGCUGGCUGCAACUGUUUAUUAAAAACACAGCACUGUGCAAACACGAAAGUGGACGUAUACGGUGUGACGCCUGCCCGGUGCCGGAAGGUUAAUUGAUGGGGUUAUCCGUAAGGAGAAGCUCUUGAUCGAAGCCCCGGUAAACGGCGGCCGUAACUAUAACGGUCCUAAGGUAGCGAAAUUCCUUGUCGGGUAAGUUCCGACCUGCACGAAUGGCGUAAUGAUGGCCAGGCUGUCUCCACCCGAGACUCAGUGAAAUUGAACUCGCUGUGAAGAUGCAGUGUACCCGCGGCAAGACGGAAAGACCCCGUGAACCUUUACUAUAGCUUGACACUGAACAUUGAGCCUUGAUGUGUAGGAUAGGUGGGAGGCUUUGAAGCGUGGACGCCAGUCUGCGUGGAGCCAACCUUGAAAUACCACCCUUUAAUGUUUGAUGUUCUAACGUUGGCCCCUUACCGGGGUUGCGGACAGUGUCUGGUGGGUAGUUUGACUGGGGCGGUCUCCUCCCAAAGCGUAACGGAGGAGCACGAAGGUUAGCUAAUCCUGGUCGGACAUCAGGAGGUUAGUGCAAUGGCAUAAGCUAGCUUGACUGCGAGCGUGACGGCGCGAGCAGGUGCGAAAGCAGGUCAUAGUGAUCCGGUGGUUCUGAAUGGAAGGGCCAUCGCUCAACGGAUAAAAGGUACUCCGGGGAUAACAGGCUGAUACCGCCCAAGAGUUCAUAUCGACGGCGGUGUUUGGCACCUCGAUGUCGGCUCAUCACAUCCUGGGGCUGAAGUAGGUCCCAAGGGUAUGGCUGUUCGCCAUUUAAAGUGGUACGCGAGCUGGGUUUAGAACGUCGUGAGACAGUUCGGUCCCUAUCUGCCGUGGGCGCUGGAGAAUUGAGGGGGGCUGCUCCUAGUACGAGAGGACCGGAGUGGACGCAUCACUGGUGUUCGGGUUGUCAUGCCAAUGGCACUGCCCGGUAGCUAAAUGCGGAAGAGAUAAGUGCUGAAAGCAUCUAAGCACGAAACUUGCCCCGAGAUGAGUUCUCCCUGAGACUUUAAGUCUCCUGAAGGAACGUUAAAGACGAUGACGUUGAUAGGCCGGGUGUGUAAGCGCAGCGAUGCGUUGAGCUAACCGGUACUAAUGAACCGUGAGGCUUAACCUUACAACGCCGAAG
rnacentral:rRNA from 1 species